AGCGAACGCUGGCGGCAGGCUUAACACAUGCAAGUCGAACGGAUCCUUCGGGAUCAGUGGCAGACGGGUGAGUAACACGUGGGAACGUGCCUUUUGGUUCGGAACAACUCAGGGAAACUUGAGCUAAUACCGGAUGUGCCCUUCGGGGUAAGGAUUAUCGCCAUUAGAGCGGCCCGCGUCUGAUUAGCUAGUUGGUGAGGUAAAGGCUCACCAAGGCUUCGAUCAGUAGCUGGCUGAGAGGAUGAUCAGCCACCACUGGGACUGAGACACGGCCCAGACUCCUACGGGAGGCAGCAGUGGGGAAGUCUUGCGCAAUGGGGGCGAACCCUGAUCCAGCAAUGCCGCGUGUGUGAA
rnacentral:rRNA from 1 species